rnacentral:sRNA from 1 species
AUGUACCGUUAGGGAUUGAAGUGGAAAGCCCGGAGCAAAGCGAGGACUUGAAAUGGAAAGCCCGACCCGAA